rnacentral:rRNA from 1 species
UACGUAGGGUGCGAGCGUUGUCCGGAAUUACUGGGCGUAAAGAGUUCGUAGGCGGUUUGUCGCGUCGUUCGUGAAAACUUGGGGCUUAACUCCAAGCGUGCGGGCGAUACGGGCAGACUUGAGUACUACAGGGGAGACUGGAAUUCCAGGUGUAGCGGUGAAAUGCGUAGAGAUCCGGAGGAACACCGACGGCGUAGGCAGCGCCCUGGACGACACCUGACGCUGAGGCACGAAAGCUGGGGGAGCGAACAGG